ACCCCAGCUGUAAAUACCAGCUGUUACCUGUAUGUUGGAGACUCGUCUCAGCCGUACAGAAGUACAUGGACCACCAAUGGGAGGGUCUGCACCUUUAAUGUGGAACGUGCUGACCUGCAGCAGCGCCUGCAGGCUUUGAGGACGGGAGAAGUGAGCUGUGAUUACGCUGUGAACACAAACCCACACUCUCAUUCUCCACGCAGCGACAGAGAACAGGUACCAGGACUCUCUCCAGAACCAAAAACAGAUAAGACAACAACCUCACCAUCUCCUGUGACGACUAAAAAAAGUAUU